AUUAUAAAAAAAAAAGGAAGUUCAAUUGAAAGUUCUGAAAAGCCAAAUAGGCCUGUGCAAUCCAUGUUUUUAAAAACUAAAACACAGAAUCAGAUUUUGGAAACUGGAACUGGGUUUAUCUUUGACAGUUCAGCAGCUUCUUGUUUGUCUUUUCUUGAUUUUAAAAUCUGCUUUAGAUCUUUUGGUAGGUUCUGUUUGAGUGCCUCCUUUCUUGAAAGCUUUGUUUAUUGCUUGUCUUGAUUGCUGUCUCGGUUUUGUUUCAAUCUGUGUAAACUCUGAUCUGUCAUUCUUAAUUUGAGCUUUGCUUGCUUUUAAAAUCUGAUCUAGAGUUUCUUGUGAGUCUGUUUGCUCUGCUGUCCUGUUCUAUUCUGGUUUCUGCACAUUGCAUUACCUAGUUGUUCUUGAUUGAGAAGCACUUUCACUUUCAUUCUGGAUUUUUGGAAUUUGAAAGAGGUUUGUGUGCUUGGUAGCAUCCUAGGUGGUGGUGGUCUAAAAGACUCUCCAACCUUGAACUGACAAGGGAGAAUUUUUCCCUUCCAAACCUUUCCUC
rnacentral:lncRNA from 1 species